CAAGUACUCCAUCCGUCCGGAAAUACUUGUCGUAGAAAUGAAUACAAAUAAAUGUAUCUAAAACUAAAAUACAUCUAGAUACAUUCAUUCCUCGGACAAGUAUUUCUGAAUGGAGGAAGCAGCAC
rfam:Triticum aestivum genome assembly, contig: Triticum_aestivum_CS42_TGACv1_scaffold_472130_6AL